AGAGUGUUGGGUUAAGUCCGCAACGAGCGCAACCCUUGUCACUAGUUGCCAUCAUUUGGUUGGGCACUCUAGUGAGACUGCCGGUGACAAACCGGAGGAAGGUGGGGAUGACGUCAAGUCCUCAUGGCCCUUAUGGGUAGGGCUUCACACGUCAUACAAUGGUCGGUACAGAGGGUUGCCGAGCCGCGAGGUGGAGCCAAUCCCUUAAAGCCGAUCGUAGUCCGGAUCGUAGUCUGCAACUCGACUACGUGAAGUCGGAAUCGCUAGUAAUCGCAGAUCAGCAUGCUGCGGUGAAUACGUUCCCGGGUCUU
rnacentral:rRNA from 1 species